rnacentral:rRNA from 1 species
UACGAAGGGUGCAAGCGUUACUCGGAAUUACUGGGUGUAAAGCGUGCGUAGGUGGUUUGUUAAGUCUGAUGUGAAAGCCCUGGGCUCAACCUGGGAAUUGCAUUGGAUACUGGCAGGCUAGAGUGCGGUAGAGGAUGGCGGAAUUCCCGGUGUAGCAGUGAAAUGCGUAGAGAUCGGGAGGAACAUCUGUGGCGAAGGCGGCCAUCUGGACCAGCACUGACACUGAGGCACGAAAGCGUGGGGAGCAAACAGG